UACAUGGGGUGCAAACGUUGCUCGGAAUUAUUGGGCGUAAAGCGCACGUAGGCGGUUCGUUAAGUCGGAUGUGAAAGCCCUCGGCUCAACUGAGGAAGUGCACCCGAAACUGGCGAGCUUGAGUACGAAAGAGGAUCGCGGAAUUCCCGGUGUAGAGGUGAAAUUCGUAGAUAUCGGGAGGAACACCGGUGGCGAAGGCGGCGAUCUGGGUCGAUACUGACGCUGAGGUGCGAAAGCGUGGGGAGCGAACGGG
rnacentral:rRNA from 1 species